AUUGAACGCUGGCGGCAUGCCUUACACAUGCAAGUCGAACGGCAGCACGGGAGCAAUCCUGGUGGCGAGUGGCGAACGGGUGAGUAAUAUAUCGGAACGUGCCCAGUCGUGGGGGAUAACGUAGCGAAAGCUACGCUAAUACCGCAUACGAUCUAUGGAUGAAAGCGGGGGAUCGCAAGACCUCGCGCGAUUGGAGCGGCCGAUAUCAGAUUAGGUAGUUGGUGAGGUAAAGGCUCACCAAGCCGACGAUCUGUAGCUGGUCUGAGAGGACGACCAGCCACACUGGGACUGAGACACGGCCCAGACUCCUAC
rnacentral:rRNA from 1 species